rnacentral:lncRNA from 10 species
CUGGGACUACAGCUGCAUGCCAUCAUGCUCGGCUAUUUUUUCUAUUUUUUAUAGAGAUGGCGUUUUGCCAUGUUGCCCAGCUGGUCUUACAUUUCUUGUUAUAAAUCACAAUAUCCCAGCGCCCUUAGUGAGAGACAUGCAGUAAAUUCUAAGUUGGAGGAGACAAAACAUAUAGGACAGGAGUGUUCAAAAGUGACACUUAUGGCUAUAUCACCCCUCCUGGAGGACAGACAACUUUGGUACAAGUGAUGCUGCAUUAGUGUUCAGUAUGCUUAGGGACCUUUCGGAAAGCAAGAAGUUUCAGAGGAAUGUUUGCAAAAUGGGGAAGUUGGAUGGCUCAUGAAGCAAAAAUGAAAGGAAAGGUUUCAGUUUCCAUUCUAUGAUUUCAAAUCAGUCUCAGCUAUAUUUCUGCAUGGUCCUACCAUCUGGAAAGAGGCUUCUAGGAAACCAGGCACAAUUGUAAAGGGGCAGCUGUGCAGAUUACUGAGAUGAUUUAUGAUGACCACAAUGUUUCCCACACAGAGAGCUCUUAAUAGAUGCUACUAUGGUGAAGAACCUGGAGAACAAGUAUCGUGAGAUAAUACCAAAGAACUUGUGUGUACUGUUGAUUGCCUUAAAAUGUUUGAAUCAGAUUAGACAUCUUCUCUGGAGCUCCAGAAGAAAGGUGGAGCUACUAAUGGGUAGAAGUUACAUCACUUCUUCCAAAACUAAGGAACAAGGACUGCACGAUGAUGUGGUACAGUGCAGAACUGGAAAGAAGACUGAGAGGGUCUCGGGCAAGAUGAGAGGGGGGCUUGAAGAUUAAUACCAUGGAAGAAGGAAGGCAGCGGGGAGGCAGACAAGCAAGGUUUGAGUAUCCCUGGCAGGGAGUGGGAUUCUUAUGCAUGUCAAGGACAUUUCAGAGAUUCCGAUUCUGAUUCUUGGGUCCUGGAAUUUUCCAUUACCUUGAGGUGAAGAAAUGGCUGGGUGAGAGUUUGGGCAGUUGACCUGAAACAAAGGCCUGAAGAGGAACCUGUGGAAAUGGAAUUGUGACCUCUAACUGUGGCUCUGUCACUAACUAGUAGAUCUCAACUAAGUCCCAUAAUCCCUUAGCAGUGGUUAGCAACAGUCCUGGGGUCAAGUUCUAGGUUUUACCAACUAUGAGUUGUAUGAGCUUGGGCAAGUUACUUAAUCUCUGUAAACCACAGUUUCCUCAUGUGUAAUGGGGGAUGGUUAUACUUGCUUCAGACAUAAACUUGCUGUGAGAUUUAAUUAGCUAGCAUUCAAAGCAUUCCCAGAGUGCCUUGCAGAAAGUGUCCAAUAAAUGUUAGCUAUAUUUGUUAGUUUUUUAAAAAAAAAUAUAGACAUCUAUAUGCACUUUUUUAAAUAUUUUUUUUGGUACCAGGUGUAAUGAAAAUUCAAACUGUACAAAGUCAGGUCCUUGCUUUCCAGGAGUGUAUAAUCUUCUAAGGGAAAUAAUAUAUAAUUAUUUAUGAUUCAAGGCAGUAUUUGUUAGUUACACAUAACUGGUAUUCGAAAGGUUUUUGAAAUACAGAGGUGAGUCGCUUCUGGCUAAAAUUAUCAGGAGGUGUUUUAGAGAAGGCAUUUCAGAUGGGCCUCCAAAGACAGGCAGAGUUUUAAAAAUUAAAAUUUGUGAGAUAUACUGAAAGAAUCACGAUCCAGUCCAAAUUGUUAGGGCAACAGAGAAACACACAGUUCAUUUUUAAACAGCUUUGUUGAGAUAUAGUUGGCAUAAAAUGAACUGUGCAUAUGUAAAAUGUACAAUAUGAUAUGUACAUAUAUCCCUGCAAAACCAUCACUGCAAUCAAGAUAAUGAACAUAUCACCCAAAAGUUUUCUUAUGCCACUUUGAAAUCCUUCCUUCCCACCCACACCCAGGCCUUCCCAAUUUGCAGGCAACCACCAAUCUGUGCUCUGUCAGUGUAAAUUUGCUUGCAUUUUCUGGAAUUUUCUGUAAGUGUAAUCAUAAGAUAUGAACUUUUUUAUGUGUGCCUUAUUACACUCCACAUAAUGAUGUUGAGAUAGUUCAUUGCUUUUUAUUGUUGAAUAGUACUCUAUUCAUGAAUUUACAAUUGUUCUUCCAUUGAUGAAGAUUCAGACUGUUUCCAGUUUUUGGU